UACGGAGGUGGCUAGCGUUGUUCGGAAUUACUGGGCGUAAAGGGCGCGUAGGCGGCUUUGCAAGUCAGAUGUGAAAGCCCCGGGCUUAACUCGGGAACUGCAUCUGAAACUGCUUAGCUUGAGUCCUGGAGGGGGUAGUGGAAUUCCCAGUGUAGCGGUGAAAUGCGUAGAUAUUGGGAGGAACACCUGCGGCGAAGGCGGCUACCUGGACAGUGACUGACGCUGAGGCGCGAAAGCGUGGGGAGCAAACAGG
rnacentral:rRNA from 1 species